rnacentral:lncRNA from 1 species
GGGCUAAUUUAGAACCAAUUUGAGCCAAAUUGGAUUUGGUCUUGAAGUGGAUUCGAAGUAUUUUAAUUGGGCUUGCUGUUGGGUGCCAAAAAAUAGGGAACCACAUGCCUAAGAGUCUCUCUCUUGGCAUGUGGAUUUGAAUCCACGCGCAUGAGCCACAUGGCGCAUGGAUGGAGUUGGCGCCACCUUUAGAUAAGGUCUUUCCUAUUUUUUCUCCAUAACUUUUAUUCUAUGAAUGAUUUUUAG